rnacentral:rRNA from 1 species
GAUGAACGCUGGCGGCGUGCCUAAUACAUGCAAGUCGAGCGAACGGACGAGAAGCUUGCUUCUCUGAUGUUAGCGGCGGACGGGUGAGUAACACGUGGAUAACCUACCUAUAAGACUGGGAUAACUUCGGGAAACCGGAGCUAAUACCGGAUAAUAUUUUGAACCGCAUGGUUCAAAAGUGAAAGACGGUCUUGCUGUCACUUAUAGAUGGAUCCGCGCUGCAUUAGCUAGUUGGGAAGGUAACGGCUUACCAAGGCAACGAUGCAUAGCCGACCUGAGAGGGUGAUCGGCCACACUGGAACUGAGACACGGUCCAGACUCCUACGGGAGGCAGCAGUAGGGAAUCUUCCGCAAUGGGCGAAAGCCUGACGGAGCAACGCCGCGUGAGUGAUGAAGGUCUUCGGAUCGUAAAACUCUGUUAUUAGGGAAGAACAUAUGUGUAAGUAACUGUGCACAUCUUGACGGUACCUAAUCAGAAAGCCACGGCUAACUACGUG